CUGAGCCCCUCCCCUGUCUAGACUCUUAUUCCAGGAGCAUGGUGUUCUCUGCUGCAGCUGACCUCAGCCCAGACGCUGUCCUAGAGGAAGACCACACAUGCAGCCCACAACUUGUCCAGACUCCAUUGCAGAGAAAGACCUGCAUCCCUUAGCCAGUGGCUCAAAGGGCCCCUGAUGGAGGAUGUAUGGCAGUCUCAUUUUGUGAGGAGACACACAGGAGGAAGCUGGGGUUUGGAAAGGCUGAGUAGACGGGACCUACUCAGAGGUGGAGAAGGCCAAUCAUGUUCCAGGGAUGAGGCGGAAGGUAAGUGGCACCAGCCCGGGGUGUGAUUGUGUGUAGGGAUGGGAAAUAAUGUUU